AACGAACGCUGGCGGCAGGCCUAACACAUGCAAGUCGAGCGCGCCUUCGGGUGAGCGGCGGACGGGUGAGUAACGCGUGGGAAUAUGCCCUUCUCUACGGAAUAGUCCUGGGAAACUGGGGGUAAUACCGUAUACGCCCUUUGGGGGAAAGAUUUAUCGGGGAAGGAUUAGCCCGCGUUGGAUUAGGUAGUUGGUGGGGUAAUGGCCUACCAAGCCGACGAUCCAUAGCUGGUUUGAGAGGAUGAUCAGCCACACUGGGACUGAGACACGGCCCAGACUCCUACGGGAGGCAGCAGUGGGGAAUCUUAGACGAUGGGGGCGACCCUGAUCUAGCCAUGCCGCGUGAGUGAUGAAGGCCUUAGGGUUGUAAAGCUCUUUCAGCUGGGAAGAUAAUGACGGUACCAGCAGAAGAAGCCCCGGCUAACUCCGUG
rnacentral:rRNA from 1 species